rnacentral:rRNA from 1 species
UAGGGAAUCUUCCGCAAUGGACGCAAGUCUGACGGAGCAACGCCGCGUGAGUGAAGAAGGAUUUCGGUUCGUAAAACUCUGUUGUUCGAGAAGAACAGCGCAUAGAGUAACUGUUAUGCGUGUGACGGUAUCUAACCAGACAGCCACGGCUAAUUACGUGCCAGCAGCCGCGGUAAUACGUAAGGUCCGAGCGUUGUCCGGAAUCAUUGGGCGUAAAGCGAGCGCAGGCGGUUAGAUAAGUCUGAAGUUAAAGGCAGUGGCUCAACCAUUGUAGGCUUUGGAAACUGUUUAACUUGAGUGCAGAAGGGGAGAGUGGAAUUCCAUGUGUAGCGGUGAAAUGCGUAGAUAUAUGGAGGAACACCGGUGGCGAAAGCGGCUCUCUGGUCUGUAACUGACGCUGAGGCUCGAAAGCGUGGGGAGCGAACAGG